rnacentral:misc_RNA from 1 species
GGCGGUGCAUGUCCUGAUUAUUUACGUUGUCGGCAUGGCGACGGGCGGCAGCGCGUGGGCGCUGAUGCGCUGGGCCGUGCGCAAGCCGUAGCUCGCAUUUCCGCAAUCCGCGCGAGAGCAGGCUACAUGUGACGGCGGAUGAACGCGCCCGCAUUGGCGAGCGCGCGGCGGCCGGGUUCGAGAUGUGCGUUCCAUAGCGGCCAGGCGUGGAUCAUCUCCGGCCAGAUUUCCAGCGUG